rnacentral:tRNA from 1 species
GAGAACCUAGUAAAACAUGUAUUACGUGGCUUUGUCGUGGCCAAAUCACAACCAUUUGUGGCUCUCA